UCGGGCUGCAUACCCAUCGAAAGGAAUGCUCUUCUUGGGUUCAAAGAAAGCCUCAAAGAUCCCUCCAACAGGCUAUCUUCUUGGGUGGGUGACGACUGCUGCACAUGGGAAGGCGUGGCUUGUGAUAAUCGGACUCGCCAUAUCAUCAAGCUAGACCUCCGCAACACACACCCGUUGUCGUACGCUGACGAUCUUCCAUACAAGAAGUGGUCCUUGGGAGGUUCCCAUUAAGUCAAAAGUGCAAAGAUGACAAGACAAACCAAGGUCCAAAUGCAGUUGGAGGGGAUGAAAAGGUUGAUAACGCCAUGGAUGAAGAAGGAUAUGAAAUGAUGUGGUUGUAUAUGAGCACGGGGCUAGGAUUCGUAGUAGGUUUCUGGAUUGUCUUUGGCCCACUAUUAUUCAGUAGAAAAUGGAGAGAAGCCUAUUUUCAACAUACAUAUAGAUCAAGUAUUCAACGUGGUUUACGUGGCCCUGGCAACAAUUUUCACUAAGUUUAAAGUACACAGCAUUACAACAUGACAGUUUGUGUCCUUGAAUUGUAUGUAUAAUUUUUUUCUUUUUUUUAGAAGUGAUUGUAGAAAUAUUUAGAAUGGGUUAUCUAUACUCAACGUCUACUUUUACACAUAGAAAAUGUACCUGUACUACUCUAAUAAAAUAAUUAUGUUCAAACUAAUUUACUUAAUUUAU